rnacentral:lncRNA from 1 species
GAUUGUCGAAAGAGAAUAAAUGUGACAUUUUUAUUCUCAAUAGAUUUGUUGUAAAAAUUCCUAAAUAAUUACAUAAAAGGUAAGAGACAGUACAUCUCUUUAUUAAUUGUAUUUGCGUUUUAAUUGAACUCUUUAAUUCCUCUCUGUUUGUACGAAUAUUUAUAUAUGUGUAGGAAAAAUGACUUUUGUGUAUUUAUCCACUGGCAGAAGACUUUGUAGAUACUCCAGCAAUACGGUUGUGACAAGGUGUAAUACCACCAAUGAUUUUCCACAAUUAGUCUUUGUUAAAUUUGCACUUUUCAAAAAAAUGUGCAGAAUUUAUCUUUGUUUCAAAUAAAGAAAUAAUUGCAUGAGUAAAGUUUUAUCAUGUCCAGUACUAUAGAAAAAAGUUCACAUAACAUGUCAUUGCAUAGAAGAAAAUAACCAUCAUUGGAAGUUAACCAAUCAAAUGUCUCCCCUUAUUUUAUCUGUGUACAAGGUUUAGUCACCAUGUAACCUAAGAUUACAAAUUUUCUAUAGAAAUCCCAAAUAAAAAAUAAUGGUGUUUUAAAAUACCCAAGACAUAUGUUUAUGACACAGAAAUGUUUUUACUGCAAUAAAAUGUAGGAUUAUUAACAACAACUGUCAAAUUCAAGGGAAUAUUUUUUUAAACCUACUUCUUUCGUAUACAACCGGAUGUGACGUACCAUGAUUUGGUGGUAUUACACCACAACCCUCACAUUUCUACAACACACACGUAUACGAAGAAACGAUACUGAUAUUGUUUCGUUUCUAAAUUCUAAAGAUUGAAAAAAAGAGUUGUUACACCUAUCCCUUUUCCAAAUAAUACAUCAGUAUAAAACAAAACUACAAGUCAUAAAAUCGCUUUACAUUUUCUUUUUGUUAGUGUUUCUGUGUCUGCUUGUUACUGUUAUUGUUUAGAUUUUUUUUUCUCUUGACUGGUACAAUUAAAUGCAUUUUGAGUAAUCGCUUGCCUUACUUUAAUAUAUUCCUUAUACAGCUUUCUCAUCAUUGCAUCUAAAUAGGGAAAUGGUUAAGGUGUCAGACCACCAAUUAAAAAUCCCUAUCUGUUCAACUAAAUUUUGCCAUUUUCACAGCUUUCUAAAUAUUUUACCUCAAGUUUAACUUCAAGAAAACCAGGUAUAUCUUGAAUAGUACAUGUAUCACCUUUCUACAUGCAAAUUUUCAACCAAUGUUUAAAGUCUUAUUAGAAAUGUUUGAUCUUGAAAACACAGAUACUACCAAAAUAACUCCCGGUUUUCUGGAAAUCUUAAAUUAGUGUACCAUGUAGCGCAUUAAUCCUGAAUUUUUAAUGCAAACUCAUAGACAAGUGCAUUUUGGCUCAAAAUGGUCUAAAUGUAUCUCCCUUUCACCAAAAGUUUCAUUUCUGCAAAUUUGAUGGUUAGUUUAAGUGAACAUGACAUCAAACGCACUAUUUGUUGUCCGAGUAGGCCUACUUUCAGUAAUUGGUGGUCUGACAUCGUAAACAAAUUUAUACCGACUAUUGCAUUUUGAGUUCAAAAGUAAAAGCAUAAUUUUAUCCUUAUAUUUGAGUGUAAAUUAGGGAAAUUUUAAUUCCAAAAAGGUUGUAUUAUUUGUUUCGGAUCAUUUAAAAAACAAAAUGUAUGCCAACAAUCUGUUUAAAAAUCUAGAAUCACAUAAAGGCAUGUCAGAUACAUGUUGCUGAAUGUUAUAGGUUUUUUUAAUCUGUUAUUUAAGAAAUUACAAAAGUGUGUGUGCGCGACUCAUUGUUUACCCAAAUUGAUUUAAUUUUCCCAAAACUUUUUCUGUAUAUCGUUUCAGGGUAAACAAGGAGAAUGGAAACACGUAUAAAAGUAAGAAGUCAUAUAUCUUGAUAUUACACUCUACACUUUUAACCUCAGCUACUCAAACAUGUCAACGUUAGAUUUUGUUGUCGCUUGGUGGUUGUCGUCUGUCGUUCGAAGUCGUCAAUCAACUUUUACAUAAAUUUUCUAUUACACAACUGAGCUAAAUAUUACAAACUUGGCCAUAAUCAUCCUAGAUGUCUAUAGUUUAAAACAUGUGUCCGAUGAUCCUGCCUAUGAACCAAAAUGGCCACUACGUUUUAAAAUAAACAUAAGAGUACAAUUUAAGUGUUGUCUGUUGAAUUGUAAACCGUUUAGAAUAGAGAAAAUAUUACAGGAGUAGAAAUGCUACAGAUUAGUAGUGUGCUGAUUUUGUUUUUUUAGGUUCGAUAUUUUUAAUUAGUUAAAUGUUCGGUAGAAACCUCAUUUUAUAUAUUUAUACAAACUUGAAUACACAUAGAAAAGAAUAAGAUGUUUCGCGGGUAAAUCAUGUGUCAGGUCAAAUGUGAAGGGGUGUUCCUAAGGAAACUGUAUUAUGAGAAAUGAGGCACUUUGGUAGAACACCUGUUCUACAAGAAUAGUACGCUGGCAUUGGGGUAUAUAAGCAGGAGCGAUUCUUUGCUUUUUGGUCAUUCGUCUGAUGCUACAAAGACGAAUGCCAUUAUACGUACGGUACGUGAUGAUUAAAGAAAUGAUAUUUGAGAUCGUUGUCUCUUCUAUAGUUUCUAUUACUUAGUGUAAUAAAGAACAGGUUGGUGUCUGUUAGUAUUCUCUAAUAUUGAAUUCUAUUCAUGGUUGUUUGCAACAAGGUUGAAUCUUGUUCUUUAGACUUGUGCAACUUGUAGUUUGUCAAGUAUGACGACAAGUGUUCACUUGUAGGGUACCUCAAUGUACCAUUCAGACAAGUCGUAGCUUGAAGGGUACCAACAUGUACAGGACAAGUAUGAGUCUGUGUGACCAACUUGUAAGGUACAUAAUUGUACCAAGAGAACGAGUGACGUAUUAGACAAGUGUGAGUCUAUAUGACCAACUUGUAGAGAACAUAAUUGUACAUAUUUAGAGAACAAAGACAAGUGUGAAAAGUAAAUGUGAGUCUAUGUGACCAACUUGUAGGGUAAACAAUUGUACUAGAUGACAAGUUUGUUCCUGACCUAGGACAAAUUUGUAAUAGUACAAAUUUGUACAAGUUGUAUUUAUUUUAAGUAAAUAGUUUAUAGAUAGUUUAUCCAAGACCGCAAAGAGCAGUUAUAUUUAUUUUGGUUUAUUGGCGUUAACUUAUGAAUAAAAUUUACUUGUUAUCUUUUGUAAAUAGAAUAUUUUGGAUCCAGUAUCAAAAUGGUAAUGGACUCAUUCCAAAAUAAAAAGACCCGCUUACCCUGUGUACACGUUACAAUAGAUAUCUUUUCUGUCUGCUUAGACUAACACUUUCAACCUACUCUUUAUAGGAGCUAUUGCCUUUAAUGGCGAUGUUUACAAGUUUUUUGUGUUUUUCCUAAUAUCUUGAAUACAUUAUAUUGAAGAGAAACACAAAAUUGCAAAAAUAAUCAACCAGACAAACCGUGGCAUACGCAUAGGUCACGACAAACAUUUGUGAAGGACUUUUAUCUAAAGAGCAUUGUUAUUUGGUCGAAGCAUCUCUUGAUAUAAUAGUAUUUGGGUUUUUCAUUUCAUUUCUUUUCAUGUCAUUUCCAGAAUUGAAAUAUCUGAUCUUAAUUUAUGAGUUCUGUCUUGUAGGUUGAUCAGACGGAAGGGGAUCUAGACUUUGUUUCUGGUGUUAUUCUUAAUCACUUAAGCAAAGAACUAAAAUACAAUUAUUUUGAUUGUUAUGCACAGCACGAAAGAGCAAUGGAAUCAAUGGACGGACACGCAAAAGUUAUUAUUAAAUACCUAACAGAUCAGAUACUGCCAGGG